UCAUCUUAGAAAAACUUCACUCUUAGCAUGUGUGGGGUUGGAGCUCGAAGAGGGUUCAAGAUAUCAAGUUAUCAUCAUCAUCUAUCAUCACUAGCCAACUCAAAAAUUAAAAUAAAGAAGGUGAAGAAGGUUAAAGUGGGCUUUAAGAAUCUCAAUUGCAUGUGAAAACUCUUGAGAAAUUGGGAAGGAGAUCAUCAAGCCACCAUUAACAUCAUCAUCAUUUCUCAAGCUCAAAUUCCAGAUUUUGAUAAGAGGUGGGAUUCUAGUUAGUCUUAGAUUUUGGGGAAAUCAAAAUGCAUGAUGGGAAUUAGUAUUACUUGUUGAAUCCUUAUGUGUUGUUGUGUUUUUCAUGUUUCCGGAAAUGUGCCAUGAUUCAUGCGUGUAUGAUGUGUUUGAUAUGUUCUAAAUCAUGUGAACGUGUUUAGAUAUGAUUGGAUAUACUUGGUGUGCUGGAAACUAUGGAUUUGAAAUGGUAUUUUCG
rnacentral:lncRNA from 1 species